CCUACGGGAGGCAGCAGUGGGGAAUUUUGCGCAAUGGGCUAACGCCUGACGCAGCAACGCCGCAUGGAGGAUGAAGGUCUUUGGAUUGUAAACUCCUGUCAGCAGGGAAAAAGGGACUCGGCCUCAUACGUCGGGAACUUGAUUGUACCUGCAGAGGAAGCCCCGGCUAACUCUGUGCCAGCAGCCGCGGUAAUACAGAGGGGGCAAGCGUUAUUCGGAAUUAUUGGGCGUAAAGGGCGCGUAGGCGGCCUGGCAAGUGACGGGUGAAAUCCCUCGGCUUAACUGAGGAACUGCCUGUCAGACUGCUUGGCUUGAGACCGGGAGAGGUGAGUGGAAUUCCCAGUGUAGCGGUGAAAUGCGUAGAUAUUGGGAGGAACACCAGUGGCGAAGGCGGCUCACUGGACCGGUACUGACGCUGAGGCGCGAAAGCGUGGGGAGCAAACAGGAUUAGAUACCCUGGUAGUCCACGUCGUAAACGAUGAGUGCUUGGUGUAGCGGGUAUCGACCCCUGCUGUGCCGAAGUCAACACAUUAAGCACUCCGCCUGGGGAGUACGGUCGCAAGACUGAAACUCAAAGGAAUUGACGG
rnacentral:rRNA from 1 species